GUGUUGGAUGGGGAGUCUCUCCCAGCAGCAUCUGCGUCAUCUGCCUCCUCAUCAGAAAUCUUGAACUCCAAAUCUUCAGUGUAGCGCUUCCUUUUCACCUGCCUGCUGGACCGCCUCUUCUGCAACAGAACCCCGACAAAUGCCCGCAAGGACUUCAACCUGCCGUGGAAGACUUAACCUGCCAAGCAGACAUCAUCAGUUCUCUUUCAAAUUCUGGGAAUGGCGGGAAGAUGCUUAGAGCCGUACAAUGGCCAUGCUCUUGUCUGAAAUCCUAACUAUCAGUUCUGUAAGCACCGAGCCAAGUUGUGAUUUUUAUAAUAAGAAGCUGGUUGCUAGAUAAUAUAUUUUAAUCUAGUAAAACUCUGGAUAAAUCAA